GACGAACGCUGGCGGCGUGCUUAACACAUGCAAGUCGAACGAUGAAGCGCCAGCUUGCUGGUGUGGAUUAGUGGCGAACGGGUGAGUAACACGUGAGUAACCUGCCCCCUACUCUGGGAUAAGCCUGGGAAACUGGGUCUAAUACUUGAUAUGACCAAUCACUGCAUGGUGUGUUGGUGGAAAGAUUUUUUGGUGGGGGAUGGACUCGCGGCCUAUCAGCUUGUUGGUGGGGUAAUGGCCUACCAAGGCGACGACGGGUAGCCGGCCUGAGAGGGCGACCGGCCACACUGGGACUGAGACACGGCCCAGACGCCUACGGGAGGCAGCAGUGGGGAAUAUUGCACAAUGGGCGAAAGCCUGAUGCAGCGACGCCGCGUGAGUGAUGACGGCCUUCGGGUUGUAAACCUCUUUCACCAGGGACGAAGCUAACGUGACGGUACCUGGAGAAGAAGCACCGGCUAACUACGUG
rnacentral:rRNA from 1 species